AACGAGUGUCUUAAAAAUCAAAGAACACUCAUGGCAGAAGAAAUUCUCAGAGCAUCAGUUUCCAAGCAUGAGUUCUGUUCCUUCUGUGGAAAUAAAAACCUGCCCGAACCUGCUGGAGAUUACGUUUGGAUUCAGUGUGGAACUUGCACAAGAUGGUUUCACACGCAGGGCCUUGGAAUGACAGCAGCACAAAUGCCAAACCAAAACAGGAUUGUGUUGUGUAACAGCCCUAGCUAAAGAGGAUGUAGGUAGAUGUAGUUUGGGGUUUAGGUCUGGAUAACUACAAGAGACAAAAUGUAAACUACUACCACAAUGGUAAUUAUACACAAACUGUAU